UGGGGAAUCUUGCACAAUGGGGGAAACCCUGAUGCAGCGACGCCGCGUGAGCGAUGAAGCCCUUCGGGGUGUAAAGCUCUUUCGGCCGGAACGAUGAUGACGGUACCGGCAGAAGAAGCUGCGGCUAACUACGUGCCAGCAGCCGCGGUAAUACGUAGGCAGCGAGCGUUGUUCGGAGUUACUGGGCGUAAAGAGUGCGUAGGCGGUUGACUAAGUUUGGGUGUGAAAUCUCCCGGCUCAACUGGGAGGGUGCGCCGAAAACUGGUUGGCUGGAGUGUGGGAGAGGUCAGCGGAAUUCCUGGUGUAGCGGUGAAAUGCGUAGAUAUCAGGAGGAACACCUGCGGUGUAGACGGCUGACUGGACCAUGACUGACGCUGAGGCACGAAAGCGUGGGGAGCAAACAGGAUUAGAUACCCUGGUAGUCCACGCCCUAAACGAUGCAUACUUGGUGUGGGUGAUUCAUUUCAUCCGUGCCGGAGCUAACGCGUUAAGUAUGCCGCC
rnacentral:rRNA from 1 species